GACACCACAAUCAGAGCUCUUGGAGGAAACUCAGUCCGGUAAGCCAGGAACAUUACUUGAGAAUGGUAAAACACAGAGUAGAAAAUCAGUCAGAAAUUGCCGCAACCACCCAACCUUCAGCAACAACAUCCUGAUCAGUCAGCAGCCAUCAACAUCAAGGCAGCUGAAUGCAAUUCGAACUGACAUAUCCUAACUGGCACAGUGGGAUAAUCACAAUGCUAAAGGUAUGGUCAAAUUGUUGAGAGGGCAAAGGAAUCAGUUACUCACUCUGCCAAUUUGUGUUGGAGAAUGUUCUAGAGAGAAACAAUAUAUAAAAACUUGAUACUGAAAGGAAAAAAAUAACCUGAACAGAAAGACAAUCAGGUGAUUAUUAAUAAAUAACUUAGUUUGCCUUGAACAUAGAAUUAUUAUAAUAAAGGACUAUUUAGAAAGGGGCAGCAUCACAGGCUUUGUGGCCGAAAAGGUAUGUUGAAAUUAGAGUUUAAUGAAUUUUCUAUUUUUUUGUUAGUAUUAAGGGGAAUGAAUAAGAGGGUAGAGAGACCAGACACUAUGAGAUAUUGUGAUAAUGUAGGAUGUAGUAAGCAUGAUCUCCAGCAAAUGGAGCAUUCUGAUUCCUGAAAAUAUGUAAAAUUAAACUUAUUUUAUUUAUUUUUAUAUUCAUGCAUAUAGUGUCGUUUCUGUCACAUGGUAGGUACCUAAAUUAUAAUUGGAACAGGUAUGAGUCCACGUUUUGUGGGGUAUGUAUAUAAGUUAGGAAAAUAUGUUUAGAAAAACAGAAUACAAAUUAUGAAAACAUUAGAUAUCUGGCUUUAGAGGAGGUUAUGCAAUUAAGUGGCCUGAAGUUUAAGCCUCAUUAGCUUCACAGUAAAUCUGCCUCUGCUCCGGAUUAAAUAAAUGGACACUGUCACAUGCAUAGGCAAGUAGAAUAGAAGUAAAUUAUAUAAUAGAUAAAAAAUACUGUUUAAGCAAAAGAGGCAUCUGAUACUUUCAUUAUUAGGGUAGAGGGAGGGGUAAGAAAUAAUUUUUGAAAUGUUAGGUAAAUGGUAGGCUGUUACAUACUUCAAUUAUUCCAAAAAUAUUUAUGAGUGUAUGUAAUGUACCAGGCAUUAAGCUAGAGCAUACAGAGGGAAAAGAUAUAGUCAAUAAUUUAUGAAUAUCACAUAAGAAUGAGAGAAACAAGUAACUAUAGGUUACAUGCUGUGGUUGAUAAAUGAAAAUGGUGCUAGAAUGAUACAGAGAAGGAUUAUCUACAUUGGUAUUGGUUCUUUAUGGUUGAAAGCAUGACAUAAUAUUAAAUGGGAGAUGUAAGCCAGAGCACUAUCAUUAGGGAACUUAUGUGCUCACAUUUUUGUUUUGAAAAAAUCUCUAGCUGCACAAGAGAGGAUAGAUCAAUGAUAAUAUAAAUGGGGAAACUACUGCAGCAAAUGGUUAUGGGUGGUGUAGGUAAAGAUUAAUAUACAUAACUAAAAUAUGAAAAAUGGGUAUUGCCGAAAGGGAGAAAAUUUUAGUGGAAUCAACAGAUCUUAAUGUAGUUUUGUUGUGUUUUGUUUUUAAAUAUAUUUUUUAAAUUUUAAAUUUUUAAUUUUUGUGGGUCCAUAGUAGAUAUAUAUAUUUAUGGUGUACAAGAGAUAUUUUGAUACAGGCAUAUAAUGCAUAAUAAUCACAUUAGGGUAAAUGGGAUAUCUGUAACCUCAAACAUUUAUUCUUUAUUUGUAUUGCAAGCAAUCCUCUUAGUUAUUUUAAAAUGUAUAAUAAACCAUAGUUGACUGUAGUUACUCUGUUGUGCUAUCAAAUACUAGAUCUUAUUCUAUCUAACUACAUUUUUGUACUCAUUACUACCCUCUUCCUCCCCACUAUCUACUACUCUUCCUAGCCUCUAGUAAUCAUCAUUCUACUCUCUAUACCCAUGAGUUCAAUUUUUAAAAAUUUUCCAACCUUAAAUAAGUAAGAACCUGCAAAAUUUGUCUUUCUGUGCCUGGUUUACUUCCCUUAACAUAAUGACUUUCGGUUCCAUCCAUGUUGUGGCAAAUGACAGGAGCUCAUUAUUUGUUAUGGCUGACUAAUACUCCACUGUGUAUAGGCACCACAUUUUUUUAUCCUCUGUUGAUGGACACAGAUUGCUUCCAAAUCUUUGCUAUUGUGAAUAGUGCUACC